ensembl:lncRNA
CGGCGAGGCUUUUCUCCGGUCUUCUAUAACUAAGGUGGGGGAAGGAGAGGGAGACAGCAGCUUUCCCUGGCCUAGCCCUUUAAAAGAAAAAAGAGACAAACAGCCACACCGCCCCCGCAGCGCCUCUCACUGGACGACUUUUCUACCCUUCUACCCGGACCCUUCCAAAGCCCACCUCUGGCUGUCUAGGUGCAUCAGCCACAGAGCUACACCAUUGUUGCUACUCACUAUUACUGAAACUAAGUGACAACAAAGCCUGAAUUAAGAGAUCCUUUUCCAUAAGGAAGAGGAGGGGGAGUGAUGAAUUUAAAAGACUAAAGGAAAAAGCUGAACUUGAAAGACCAUGAGUUGAAGAGGGUUGAAGGCUAAAGUUCAGAGGUGUGGUCUAAGAAAGUGUAUCUAGAUGAAUAUGGAUUUUAGUGUCCUAAGGAAAAGUGAAGGGCUUUGCACCUGUGUGUCUCACUUCCUACCUACCAAUCUCUGAUUCCACCACACUCGAUUUUUUGCACCUGAUGGACAUAUGCAAAGCUGCCUUGGAACAGUCACAGCUGUGAUAAAAGCUGCACUAGAAGGACACUAGAAAUACUAAGAACAGAAGGUUCUUUAAGUGCCCUCCCUCCUCAUUUCAGCAGUACAAGAGAACACGUGGCUCUUAAACGCCUGAGCCAAAAUUGCCACUCUUCUGAAUUUCCUGCCUUUUUUCUUGUUUCCUUCCAAGGAGAGCUAGGUUGGUAGAUACCACACUGUGUGUACUCCAUGUCCACAUCAAGCCCUGGUUUGUGUCCUUACCAGACCCUUCCUCUUAUCCCAGUCUGUUUUCUCACGUUUAUUUGAAGAAUAACAUGUCUUAGAAUAUAAAGUCAAGAAGACCCUAAUUGAAGAUGGUGAAGGAUGAGAUGGAUUAAAAAAAAAAAAAGGAACCUAUGUAUAACAAAAAGAAUUAAUCCUUUCCUAGCUUCUUGUUAUUCCCUUUGCCUUGCUAAGCUCUGUUUUUAAAGGCAAAAGACUCUUCCAGCAUUAUUCCAUGUUAAUAACACACUGCUAGAGUGGGCCCUGUGAUACCUUCAUGUGAUUGCCCUCCCCACUCCUUUCCCUAGAAAUUUCUAGCAACACUCCACGAGAUUAUACCCCCACAAGACCACCAAAAAUAUGCUUUACAACUCCUUCCCUAGUACUUCAGCCACACCAACAUGCCUUGUGGGAGUCCAUUAUAGAGAUGGAAACUGCUGAUGGAUGUUCCUGCCUAUGACUAAAGAGCCUCUCCAGGUUGUAUCCCAAGUGUGACAGAAAGAUGGGAAUGGUGACAGCCUAAUAUGAUUAGGAGCAAACACCCCGAACUGAUGAAUUUGACUGGAAAAUCUCCCAGUUCUUCUCUCCUUCACCCCUCAGGAGUCUGGGGAAGAAAGUGUCUAUGUAGCUUCAAAGAGGGCUGCGCAUAGAACUAGCAGGAGGAGAGAAAGGAGAAGUGCUGCCUACUACCAUGCCCCAACUUCACAGCCACUUGGUAAAGGGUAGAGGAGGAGCUCUUCCAGAGCUGAAGGAGGCCCAGAUGCCUGACUUAGAGUCUUUUUCUUGUCUCUCUGGCAACUAGAGUCUAGUAAAAAGUGAAAGUGUAGCCACCAGCUUCCAUUCUAUCCCUGACCCCAGGCCUGGGCCUGAGCCCAGGCGUGUGCCAGGAGGAGGGGUGUUGGCCUUACUGACAAAAUCCACUUGGAAUUUGUCAAGGUUGUGGUUUGGGGCUUAAGUUUGGCACAGAGGGUGUCUGAUGAAAGAACAGGGAAAGCUAGAAAAGAAAGGGAGCCAAAGGACUACAGAGGACAGAAACAGGACAAAGCUGAACUGUUCUUGCUACAACUUCAUUGGAGAGUCUCCUUCCCCUUCCUGAAUGUGAAAAAUUUGUACUCGGGGUGUUCUUUCUCAUUAUUCUCUUUCAUAUCUUUUGGCAAUUCUAGCUGCAUCUCUUCUCCUUUGCCCCUCUCCCAUAUGCAUAUAAGGUUCAGUAAGGGUCUGAAUUAAGAAUGGGAUAUCUCCUGACACUACCACAUUUUCAAACCCAGAAUUCUCAGUGAUCAAGUGGAGAUUUGUGAUGUAAAAUGUUGCUGUAAAAUACUGCCCUAACCCAAGACAAAUAUCCUUGCUACCUUGUUGCUACUCUCAUUUCAUCUAAUUUGAGGAUAAUUUUGGUAGCAGAUAAAUCUGUUGUCCAGAGAAGUAGCACUAUUUCUACAUCCAUGGCUAAGGUCAUGACCUGUUAAGUCAGAUCUUGAAGUCUCCCAUGUACACAAUCAUCUGUAAAGUUUUAAAUUGUCAUGUAUACACGUGUGCAUACAUAUAUAUCCCAUAUAGAUAUAUCCCUUUUAUCAUUGAAUCUUGGAAAGAUAAGUUUAUUUUCAAAGAUACUGAGUUAAGGCCAGGGAUUUAGCUCAGUGGUUCCAGUGCCUGCCUCACAAGCACAAGGUCCCAAGUUCAAUCCCCAGUACCAAAAAAAAAAGAUACUGAGUUAGGAAUAGAGACAAGAAAUUCUGUUUUCUCAGGUUAUCUUUUAAAAGAUAAAGAAAUUUGUGUACUAAAAUUAGUAAAGUUAUUUUACUAAGGUAAGGAAGGACAAAAUACGG